UUCACGGGCGAGCCCGGCCAGUUCUCGGCGCUCUGGCCGUCGAGCCGGCAUCUGACGCCACGGCUGCGGGUGUUCGUGGACCACCUUUGCGAGAC
rnacentral:tRNA from 1 species